GGCUUCCUGGGGUGUUCGACAAGAACCUAUAUUUUGAACCUACAUCAUAUUUAAGGGAUUCCGAGUCAGAUGUUUUUAAAUCGGGCCGCAAGCUAAUUCCGGCAUCCCCGGCAGCGGAAGAUUGAUAAUACACACAGGAUACCCACCUAGCGCGGCUAGGUGUCAAAAUAUCGGGGCGGCACUUCGGGGCCUAU
rnacentral:other from 1 species